GCAAUACAACAGGAAGUUUCAGUCUUUGUUACAAGCAGCUGGUAUUUUUCUUUUUUUUUUUUUUUUUACUUCAGCUUUUCAAGCAAUACUCAAACCUGUUAUCGAAAAUGAAUAAAUAAAAAUCUAAGGUUACAGUUAAAUAAACACUUUUAUACCUUUAUUUUAAGUAAUCUCAAUACAACCAACAUACAGAGGUGGCUUGUUGGGAUUGUACAGUAAUUACUGCACUAAAAGCUCAAUUCCACAGAGAAAACCCCUAACAUCUUUUCCACAACAGAUUUAAAAUAACUUAAUUAAAUUAAAAGUAUAAUACUAAUUCAUACAACACUGCCGUAUGUGGCAUAUUACUCAUUUUACUUUAUAAAUAUGAGGAACUACUGUAUGUUGCAAGCUGCGGCUGCUGUGCUUUAUGCCUCUUAGGAAGACCGGGGCCAUGCGUGUUUCUCACGGAACAACCAGAGAAGAGUCAGGAAGGGGAUCCGGUGUUAUAAUCCCAAUGCGGAUCUGUACUGGGUCCACUGCGGAGACCCUGAAUACCUAGGUGCAGCUGAACGACAAACUACAACUCUAUGUUGCAAGCCGGGGCUGGUCUAGCAUGGUUCCAGUGUGGGAUGGUUCAUCCUUCAGUGUUUGCUG